AGAGUUUGAUCCUGGCUCAGAUUGAACGCUGGCGGCAUGCCUUACACAUGCAAGUCGAACGGUAACAGGUUAAGCUGACGAGUGGCGAACGGGUGAGUAAUGUAUCGGAACGUGCCCAGUCGUGGGGGAUAACUACUCGAAAGAGUGGCUAAUACCGCAUGAGACCUGAGGGUGAAAGCGGGGGAUCGCAAGACCUCGCGCGAUUGGAGCGGCCGAUAUCAGAUUAGCUAGUUGGCGGGGUAAAAGCCCACCAAGGCGGCGAUCUGUAGCUGGUCUGAGAGGACGACCAGCCACACUGGGACUGAGACACGGCCCAGGCUCCUACGGGAGGCAGCAGUGGGGAAUUUUGGACAAUGGACGAAAGUCUGAUCCAGCCAUGCCGCGUGCGGGAAGAAGGCCUUCGGGUUGUAAACCGCUUUUGUCAGGGAAGAAACGACGUCCUCUAAUACAGGGUGUUAAUGACGGUACCUGAAGAAUAAGCACCGGCUAACUACGUGCCAGCAGCCGCGGUAAUACGUAGGGUGCAAGCGUUAAUCGGAAUUACUGGGCGUAAAGCGUGCGCAGGCGGUUAUGCAAGACAGAUGUGAAAUCCCCGGGCUCAACCUGGGAACUGCAUUUGUGACUGCAUGGCUAGAGUACGGUAGAGGGGGAUGGAAUUCCGCGUGUAGCAGUGAAAUGCGUAGAUAUGCGGAGGAACACCGAUGGCGAAGGCAAUCCCCUGGACCUGUACUGACGCUCAUGCACGAAAGCGUGGGGAGCAAACAGGAUUGGAUACCCUGGUAGUCCACGCCCUAAACGAUGUCAACUGGUUGUUGGGAGGGUUUCUUCUCAGUAACGUAGCUAACGCGUGAAGUUGACCGCCUGGGGAGUACGGCCGCAAGGUUGAAACUCAAAGGAAUUGACGGGGACCCGCACAAGCGGUGGAUGAUGUGGUUUAAUUCGAUGCAACGCGAAAAACCUUACCUACCCUUGACAUGUCUGGAAUCCUGAAGAGAUUUGGGAGUGCUCGAAAGAGAGCCAGAACACAGGUGCUGCAUGGCCGUCGUCAGCUCGUGUCGUGAGAUGUUGGGUUAAGUCCCGCAACGAGCGCAACCCUUGUCAUUAGUUGCUACGAAAGGGCACUCUAAUGAGACUGCCGGUGACAAACCGGAGGAAGGUGGGGAUGACGUCAGGUCAUCAUGGCCCUUAUGGGUAGGGCUACACACGUCAUACAAUGGCCGGUACAGAGGGCUGCCAACCCGCGAGGGGGAGCCAAUCCCAGAAAACCGGUCGUAGUCCGGAUCGUAGUCUGCAACUCGACUGCGUGAAGUCGGAAUCGCUAGUAAUCGCGGAUCAGCUUGCCGCGGUGAAUACGUUCCCGGGUCUUGUACACACCGCCCGUCACACCAUGGGAGCGGGUUCUGCCAGAAGUAGUUAGCCUAACCGCAAGGGGGGCGAUUACCACGGCAGGGUUCGUGACUGGGGUGAAGUCGUAACAAGGUA
rnacentral:rRNA from 1 species